GAAAUUCGCAGUUUGAAUGGUUUUUACAGACCCUAAAAUGAUGGUGCGCGCUCCUUUCGGCAGAUAGGGAGAGACGCACAGAAAACGAGAGGGAGGGCUGGGAGGGGUGCCGCUCACUCUGUUCAACAUUACUCGCUCGACAACGUCCUUCUCGUUUCUUCUUGAUGCAUUGUGUAUACUUCUACAAGGGCUCAUACGCCUCGUGUUAGAAGAGAUGAAAAU
ensembl:ncRNA F52D10.12 ncRNA